rnacentral:lncRNA from 1 species
UUGAGUUGGUGACUAUUGAUCUGUUGGUGACUCUUGGCUCCUGUUGGUGACUUGGUUCAGAGAUAUAUGGGUUCCAGAUGACUUUGGGUCUCAGAUGACUUUGUGGUUCCGAAUUCAAGCCGAAACUUUGAACCUGUGCUCCGAGAUACACAGCCAACCGAUCGUGUUUGCAUCAUUUGCAUCAUAGCAUAUUUAUUUUCAAAAAAAAUAAUGCAAUAAAAAAAAAGAAAGAAAAGAAAAGAAAAAAGCUAAUCUCCUCAUGCAUAUCAUUUCUCAGGUUCAUUCAGGAGUCUAUUCACUGUGAGAGAUGGCAGCCGUUCCAGAGUUGAAGAGGAAGACUUGCACACAGGUUCAUUCAGGAGUCUAUUCACUGUGAGAGAUGGCAGCCGUUCCAGAGUUGAAGAGGAAGACUUGCACCUACAGUUUUCACCGUGAGCCAUUGACGUCUUUGAUAGAG